rnacentral:rRNA from 1 species
AGUGAACGCUGGCGGCAGGCCUAACACAUGCAAGUCGAACGAGCGGCGGACGGGUGAGGAAUAUAUCGGGAUCUGCCCGAUAGAGGGGGAUAACGACGGGAAACUUAGGCUAAUACCGCAUACGAUCGAAUGAGCCGAUGGCGGAUUAGCUAGUUGGUGGGGUAAAGGCACACCAAGGCGACGAUCCUUAGCUGGUCUGAGAGGAUGAUCAGCCACACUGGGACUGAGACACGGCCCAGACUCCUACGGGAGGCAGCAGUGGGGAAUAUUGGACAAUGGGCGCAAGCCUGAUCCAGCCAUGCCGCGUGGGUGAAGAAGGCCUUCGGGUUGUAAAGCCCUUUUGUUGGGGAAGCGGUACCCAAAGAAGAAGCACCGGCUAACUUCGUGCCAGCAGCCGCGGUAAUAC